GUAUGUCAGAAUGUGCAUAGCUGUAAGAGAAGUUUUGUCAGUGUGAAUCUGAGGGUGGAGUGAGAUUUCUUCACCACCUGGUGAGAAAUAAUCUGUCUUGCAGUAAGUGCUAGUGUUGUUUUGUUUUGGGGAAAAAGGAAAAAACAUUUUUCAUGAUGCAGGUGUUGAAAUUUCUGGAUUCCUCUCUCCCUCCCGCAUCCUCCUCCUCUUCUCUUUUGCCUUUUCCUCCUUCUCCUUUUAUUUCUACUUCUUUUUCUUGCUUAAUUUUAGAAUUUGAUUCUGUUGCUGGAUGUUAUUUAUUCUCUGGCAUAACCAUUGCAGUUCGUUUUUGGAGCUGUGCUCCACGGCCAUUCACAUUUUAGAAUGGAACUGUGUUGUUUUGUCAUUCAUCACUCAAGUCUGAAAGACCAUUGUAAUCGUUUUGCUGAUAAAGAACAUGAAUGUAAAGAAGAAAUAGUGGUAAACCAGACAGCCCUGAGAGUGUGUUGUCUUGAAAAGGAACAUGAGAUCACAGAGAAGUUCUUUAUUUUUGUUCAUUUAAAUUGAUGAAUUCUUUAAAUUGUAUGUCUAAUUGUACUCAUUUUUUUUAUAGUUUAAUGCAGACAGGUUAUAAGAUUCUAGACGCUAAUUCACACUGAUUUCUUUCACAAGUUAGGAGACAAUUGUUGAUUCAUAAAACAUGAGAGGAACUUUGGGUAAUUGUCGAUUGCAUGACUAUUCUGUGCAUUUCUAUUGCUUUGCUAUCGGCAGUCAUUAAAUGGAUUCAAUUUGAAAUCUGAAUGAGAAAUUAGUGUAUUCUUAUGAAUGUGCCUCACAUAAGUUUUAAAUGAAGUGUUUGACUUUUUCAUACAUAUCAACUUGGCAAAAGAAUUUUAAUUAUUUUAUUGGCUGAGUUUAUGAGAUUCAUAGUUCAAGAUUACUCAAACCAGGGUACAUUUAGAAAUAAAUACAAUUAAAUGCUCACAAAUGUGAAGGUCUUAAACAGGAACUGAGCUGUAAUAAUUGUUUAAUCUAGAAACUUCCUCUUUUGUUUUGCUAUACACUAUUCUCUUAAUACUCCCACCCUCCCCCAACCUUUUUUUUUUUUUUUUUAAGAGUAGCCUAACCUUUUGCUGGUGACUCCGGGAACCUAUUAGAAAAUGAAUGGUGGUGCUGUUUCAGUUUUCCUUUCAGCCUUUCAGUUAACUAAACACUUACAUCUGAUCAUUGUCACUUAGUUUUUCAAAGCACAGGUGUUUUCUCUUACCCUUCUUUCUCUGCCUCAGUCUCUCCCCUGCUUUUCUCCUUCUCUCCCUCUGUCCCCUACUUCUCUUCUUCCUAUAUUCCUCUACACUUCCUCUCUCCUUCUCUCUCUCGCCUCCCUUCCUCCCUCUCCUCCCUGCCCCCCAACCCUUUCCCCUUCUCCCUCUCUCUCAGUGAAUAUCACCAUUUCCCAAUAUAAUUGGGCUUGUCCAGUUCGACUUGUAGAAUAUUGGAGAAUUUCAGCUUGAACAUAUACUCUGAGCAGGAGUGGUAAGAAAUGUGACUGUUUAGCUCAAAAAUUAAUAGCUUGAAAUCAGUGAAGCCACUGUCACAUGCUCCAUCUUUGUAAGCACCACUGCUUUUCCUUUUUUCUCCUGUGACAUGGGGGGAGGUGGGAUGGGAGGGUACACAGUAAUCCCACUAUCCUCUGAUGGCUCAGAAUAAGGAGAAAAGAGGCAUUAAUGGCUCAUGAAUGUGUGGAUGCACAACUCUAAAUAAGUACCACUUACGACUGUCUCCUAGUAUGACUAUGACUUCUCUGUUUUAGUUCCCAUCUUUGAGACUACAAGUAGCUCAGAUUCGAUUUUGAUAGUCGCACAUCCACAGUAUAAUUUACUUACAUAACAGGUGUUCCUGAAGAUAAGUAAAUGUAACUUAUUCCUACUAACUUCUAUAAUUUAAAGAAUAAAGCUUCUUUUGUAUUAUAUAAUUAUUAGAUUAUAUAUCUAAUUAAUUAUUAGUAGAAGAGAAAAAAAAUCAUCCAUGAACCAUCUCCUAGGAACAGAUGACCAAUAUUGAUAGUUUCUUGGAUUUCUUUAUAGGCAUUUUUGUCUAAGGUUUUUCCUUUUAUCUGCCUGUUUUACUUAGUUGUGAUCAUGCUAUAUGUAUCAUCUUUAGUCCUGUUGUUUGCACUUAAUAUCAUGUCAUGUGUUUUCAAUUGUUAUAAACUUUUGUAAACACAUUUAAAUACUGCAUAAUGUUCUUUGGAAUUUACAUAGCAUAAUUUAACCAUUCUCCUCAGUUUUUGAAAACUACAUGUGGUAUUUUCAAGUUGCUUGCUUUUAUAAACAAUGCUUUGACAAAUAUCUUUGCACAUAUGACUUUUUCCACAUUGAGGUGAUAUUUCCAGAAAUAAAGUUAUGAGAUUAGGAACACCGUGUAUGUUAUUUUAAAUUCACAAGGCUGUGUGAGUGAAGACAUUGUUUUGUUUGUCUGUUGUUGUUGUUUACAUUUUUUAUUUGGAAAUCGUUUCAAACUUACUGAAAAGUUGCAAAAAUAGUACAAUGUAUACCCGUAUUCAUUUUACACGGAUUCGCCUCUUAUUGACAUUUUGUUCCAUUUGCUUUAUCAUUUGUGUCUGUGAACUCUCCCUCUGUCUUUUUCACUCCUUCCUUCUUUAUCUUUUUCCCUUCCAUCUUUCUCUGUGCAUUUUUUCUGAACCAUUCUAGGAGGAGAAAGGUAUUAGAAACCAAUAUUGGGGUGCUAGGUGUGCUGCUUACUAACAGGGUAGAUUUGAUUCUAGGCCUUUUUUAGGAGACAGGAAAAAUAAUAUACACACACAUGCAUGUGUGCAUACACAAGCACAUAUUUUAGGAAUUGUUUUUAUCUUUCCCAUCUUUGUUUAUUAAUUUUAUUUUUUGAAUAUGUGGAACACUAAUAUGCUUUCCAAAUUCAAAACUCUGUAUAAAGGUAUACUGAGACAUGUAUUACUGCUAGAAGUUGGUCAUUUAUUUAUAGCAAAUGGGGUUCAUCUCUUCAAGUUUAAAAUGAUCAACUUUAUUUUUUAAUCAAGCAUACUUAUUAGAUAUUCAAAGAGAAGAAAAGCAACCCUUGAUUCUUGUGACCAGCCUUAGCUUUUUGUAUAGUAGAAAAUAAGAGAUGUUUGGUUCACAGAUAAGGCAAGUGACAGGCACUUCACGACAGAGGCUUGCUUAGCCCCUUUGUCUGUGUACAAUGGGUUAUGUUCCCUGCUUCCAUACACUGUUGCUACUUGGUUGUUGUUGUUGUUUUUAUAUUUUACUUCUUGAUGCUAGCUUACUGGUGAUAAAUUUCAUUAGUUCCCACUCUUCUAGUUUAACUUUGAAAACAUCUUUGAAUAGUGGGUAUAUCAACUAUAUGCAUUUUUCAAGGGUUAAGCUCUUGAUCACAUGUUGCUUUGGUUGAAUGUUUGUCUCCUCCAAAACUCAUGUUGAAACUUAAUUCCCAGUAUGGCAGGCAGUAUUGAGAGGUAGAGCCUUUAAGGGGUGACUGGGUCAUGAGGCUCUGCCCUCAUGAAUUGAUUAAUCUAUUCAUGGAUUAGUGGAUUAAUGAGUUAUAGACUAAUAGGUUAUAAUAGAAGUGUAGAACUGGUGGCUUUAUAAGAAGCGGAAGAGAGAUCUGAGCUAGCGGACUCAGCCCCUUCACCAUGUGAUGCCCUGAGCCGUCCUGGGACUCUGCAGAGAGUUCCUUCAAACAAGAAGGCUCUCACCAGAUGUGGCUCCUUGACCCUGUACUUUUCAG
rnacentral:lncRNA from 1 species